AGCAACCAAGCAGGGCCUACAAGCCGAGGAGGGCUGUUUAAAGGCGCAGGGGCCAUUUUACCUCCAGGUUGGCCCUGCUCAGGACCAGGAGGAAACACCUCCAGCCCGCGACCUCCUCCCACAGGGGGAAAAGGAAAGCAGGAGGACCACAGAAGCUUUGGCACCGAGGAUCCCCGCAGUCUUCACCCGCGGAGAUUCCGGCUGAAGGAGCUGUCCAGCGACUACACCGCUAAGCGCAGGGAGCCCAAGCCUCCGCACCGGAUUCCGGAGCACAAGCUCCACCGCGCAUGCGCACACGCCCCAGACCCAGGCUCAGGAGGACUGAGAAUUUUCUGACCGCAGUGCACCAUGGGAAGGUAAGUCCUCUUAGAGCUGACCACUAUGGGGAAGCAGAGCAUUUGUGUAAUGGAAUGCAUAGUGAGUGUCAAGAGGUGAGGGCUGUGACAGUUCCUCUCGCUUGGUGGAGAUAGAUGGAAAGAGCUGAAGGUUGGGCAUGGUGGCCCAUGCCUGUAACCCCAGCACUUUUGGUGGCCGAGGCAAGAAGAUCUCUUGAGCCCCAGAGUUCGAGACUAGCCUGGGCAACAUGGUGAAACCCUAUCUCUACAAUAAAAGAAAAUAUUUUUAAAAAUUAGCCAAGCAUAGUGGUACACACCUGUAGUCCAAGCUACUUAGGAGGCUGAGACAUGAGGAUCACUUGAGUCCCGGUGUUCAAGGCUGCAGUAAGCUAUGAUUGCACCACCGCACUGGUGGUGGGCAACAGAGCAAGACCCUGUCUUAUUGUUGAACCGGGGAGGUGGAGGUUGCAGUGAACUGAGAUUGCGCCACUGCACUCCAGCCUGGGCAACAGAGCGAGACUCUGUCUCAAAAAAGAGAGAGAGAAAGAGAAAGAAAGAAAGAAAGAAAGAAAGAAAGAA
rnacentral:lncRNA from 1 species